UCAAACUUGGUCAUUUAGAGGAAGUAAAAGUCGUAACAAGGUCUCCGUUGGUGAACCAGCGGAGGGAUCAUUAAAGAGUUCUAUAACUCCUAAACCCAUGUGAACAUACCAUAUGUUGCUUCGGCAGGUCGCGUCUACCAUGUUGUGUCCUACCCUGUAGGACCUACCCGGUAGAUGCGGGUAGCCUGCCGGUGGCCCCUGAAACUCUGUUUAAUAGUGAAUCUCUGAACCACAACUUAAUAAGUUAAAACUUUCAACAACGGAUCUCUUGGUUCUGGCAUCGAUGAAGAACGCAGC
rnacentral:misc_RNA from 1 species